rnacentral:rRNA from 1 species
CCUACGGGGGGCAGCAGUGAGGAAUCUUGCGCAAUGGAGGAAACUCUGACGCAGCCACGCCGCGUGCCGGAAGACGGCCCUAUGGGUUGUAAACGGCUUUUGUUCGGGAAGAAAGUACGGGUUUAGAUCUGUAUUGACGGUACCGAUUGAAUAAGCACCGGCUAACUCCGUGCCAGCAGCCGCGGUAAUACGGAGGGUGCAAGCGUUGUCCGGAAUCAUUGGGUGUAAAGGGUGCGUAGGCUGGUGUCUAAGUCUGGGGUGAAAUUUUGCCGCUUAACGGUAACAUGGCCUUGGAUACUGGAUGCCUUGAAUCUGACAGAGGUCGGUGGAAUUCGUAGUGUAGCGGUGAAAUGCAUAGAUAUUACGAAGAACACCAGUGGCGAAGGCGGCCGGCUGGGUCAGUAUUGACGCUGAGGCACGAGAGCGUGGGGAGCGAACAGGAUUAGAUACCCCCGUAGUC